rnacentral:snRNA from 1 species
GUGUGCUCCUUCGGCCGCACAUAUACUACACCUGGGACGAUACAGAGAAGAUUAGCAUGGCCCCUGUGCAAGGAUGACGUGUAAAUUUGUGAAGAGUUCCAUAUUUUU